rnacentral:rRNA from 1 species
AUUGAACGCUGGCGGCAUGCUUUACACAUGCCAGUCGAACGGCAGCGCGGGCUUCGGCCUGGCGGCGAGUGGCGAACGGGUGAGUAAUGCAUCGGAACGUGCCCAGUAGUGGGGGAUAGCCCGGCGAAAGCCGGAUUAAUACCGCAUACGACCUGAGGGUGAAAGCGGGGGACCGAAAGGCCUCGCGCUAUUGGAGCGGCCGAUGUCGGGUUAGCUAGUUGGUGGGGUAAAGGCUUACCAAGGCGACGAUCCGUAGCUGGUCUGAGAGGACGACCAGCCACACUGGGACUGAGACACGGCCCAGACUCCUACGGGAGGCAGCAGUGGGGAAUUUUGGACAAUGGGGGCAACCCUGAUCCAGCCAUGCCGCGUGCGGGAAGAAGGCCUUCGGGUUGUAAACCGCUUUUGUUCGGGAAGAAAUCCUCUGGGCUAAUACCCCGGGGGGAUGACGGUACCGGAAGAAUAAGCACCGGCUAACUACGUG